rnacentral:lncRNA from 1 species
AAAUGCCCAGAAAAGGCAAACCAGAGAAAGUAGAUUCGUGGUUGCCUGAGGCUGGGGGCAGGAAUGGAGGCUGAUUGCAAAUGGAUACGAGAGAUCUUUUGGAGGUGAUGGAAACGUUCUACAACUGGUUUGCUGUAAUGGUUGCACAACUGUGUAAACUUACUAAAAAGUCCUUGACAUGUUCACUAAUAGGGGUGAAUUUUAUGGCAGGUGAGUUAUAGCUUCUUAAAACCAUUGGGCUGGGGGGAAGCACAGGCUCUGAUUCAGACUGCAUGGAUUCAGGUCCCGGCUCUGUGACUUGGGCUGGCUGUGUCGUUUGGGGUAUAAGUUACCUCAGCUACCCGUUUCCCCGUGUGUACAGGGACUUAGAGAGUAUACCCUUCACAGAGUUAUGGUGAGAAUUAAGUGAGUUAAUGCAGGUUAAAUGUUUCAGCACAGGGCCAGACACACAGCAAGCACUCAGUAAUGUUCACUAUUUGUAUUAUGAUUAUAGUCAAACAGUUAUCUAGUCGGGCCAACUUUUCUUAGUUAUUAGUUCUCAAAUUAAUCACCCCUUUUCUGAAACUGCUUCCCUGGCCUUACACUCUGUACCACCUUUUAGGUAGAACAUUUGCUGUAGUCUAACUUCCUCCUAGGCUGGCUCCUCCCAAGUAGCCUCUAGACACCACAUAGGAAAUGGGAAUAUACCCCUUGGGAAAACCAGCUUCUGGGAUCUUCUUCAAUGGCAUAGAAGGCCUCCAUCAUCUGAUCUCUCUGUGGAACACUCCAACCUAUCCCCACCCCCACACACAUCACAGUGGCAAAUGUCCCCAUAGGUACCGCGCAGGUGCUCACACCAUAUCCCCCCUACAUCAAUGUCCCUCACCUCCUUCCCUUCAACUGUCUACUCCAGUCCCCAGACUCAGCAAUGGAGUCUCCCCCACCAGCCUCCACUGACCCUCCUGAGCAUGACCUUUCUAUGCCUGUAAUAAUCACCUGUGCCAUGUACCCAGUAUUGGAUUGAGGCACACAGCUUAAAAACUAUGUUUCCCACCUUCAAGCAUGGGCCUAGCACAGUCCCUAGGACAACUAGUAUAUUGUAAGUGCUCAAUAAAAUGUUGACCGGCCAAGUGAAUAGCCAGAUGAUGCACAUUUUCUCUGCUUCUCACAUAGGAAAAAUGCACUUAGGUUUGCAAAUAGCUUAGGACUAUUUUUAGCAUGUCACUUAAGGAAAAUGACAGAGGUUGUCCAGGAAAAUGGAAACCUAUUCUGAGGCACUACUCUAAGCAGUAAUGAGAGAAGGUACAGGGUCAUGCCACCUUCCAUUUGAAGCCACGUGUACCUUCCACAACUGUCAGUAAGUAGGUUCAUCAAAAUUUACAGAGACGGCUGGUAAUAUUAAUCCUUCCAGUGGAAUUUUUCCUAACUCACCUGAAAUCAGAGUUUCUAAACUCUGAAACUGAUCUGUUAAGAAUUUUUGAGACAGUUCACAGUGGGAUAUAUAAAACAAAUAAAAAUCAAAUUUAGAAGGUUUUUUUUUGUUUUUUUUUUAAGAGUUUUGCUGACUGAAUGGGGAAAAAAUACAAUUACCUGAUGCCUGGGUUUCACCCCAGAGAUUCUGAUUUAAGUAGCCUAAGGCAGAAAUCAAGGAGAACGAUUUUUUGUUAAGUUCCUCCAAUAAUUCUAAAGAGUAGUGAAGGUCAAGAUAUACCCCCCAUGGAAUCUCAAAUUUGUUCCUUUAUGCCUCAGUGUUCUUAUGUAUAAAACGGUGGCAAUUAUGCUUAGAUUUAUGGAUAAUUGACAAUCCUCCUGAAAGUACAAUUCAUAACUGUUAAGUGGAGUCCUUUCUUUUCAUUCUCACUACCUUGGGUCACUGAAAAAAUAAAGUCUGGCUUAUUAAAACCACCUGAUCGAUAAGUCUUAAUAUCCCUUAUUACAGAGGGACAUUUAAAAUCCAUUAUAGGACAGUUAAACAAAAAAGAUCCCCAAACCGUAUCUUAAUUAACCCACAAUCAAAGGCAUACUAAAAAUAAAGGUGUGAGUCUGAAAGAUAACUGAGAGUAAUAAUAUUUCCAGAAGAUUGAGCUGUAGGUCCUCUGUGAAUAAAUCCCUAUUUGUGGGCACGGCAUGUUUUUCUCUAAUCAUGAAAAGAGAUCUCAGCAAAGUGUUGAAGAGGUACUGUUUCUGUGCUUGCAUUUCAAUGGGUCCUGAGGGAGAGAUCUGAAAUGACAAAUAUGAAACUUCACUGAAAAAUUACACUGAGCAUGACAUAAAAUUUAGUAUUAGAAUCUCCUUAAAAUGAAAAAAGUUAAAGCAAUCACAUCACAUCCUGUAAACAUCUAUUUUUCUUCUCCAGAAAUGUCCUAUUCAAUCUUUUUUCAAUUCUUUCAGGAAACAUUCUAUUGUUGCCACUGAGGGGGAUCAGGGCAUGCCACCCCAAAAUACACCACUUUGGCAUAAGAACGAUUUUGAGCCAGAGGAAUCUGAGUUCCUGAUAUUGCUUAUCUGCCUGAAAGCAGAGCUUCCCCACAAAAAAACUGUCACAAAUCCCCUCCCCAGGCAACUCCGCUUUUUCCAGGCACCACAUCCAGACACUGCCACACACCAUGACACUGUCCAUCACUUGUCCUAAGGCCCUGCUUAUCUUUCCAAAUAGUCCCUUGCUCUCCAUUAAAGGACAGUGCCUUUCUCCUCCUCCUUCUCCCUGCUAAGUCAGGUGCAUGGACCCCAAAUCAAUCUAUCUAUCUAUCUAUCUAUCUAUCUAUCUAUCUAUCUAUCUAUCUAUUUAUUUUUGACCCUAAAUCUAAUCCUCCUUUGAGUCGCUCAGGACUGGGUACCAUGUGAAUGUAGGAUGCACCUGUUAAUAAACUUCUGCUUUUUUCUUGUUGACCUACUUUUGUCAGACCAGUUUACAGGGCCUGGCUGGAAAAUUCAGCAGGGUGGAAGGAAAAUAAUUUUUUUCUACAAUACUUUGGUAUCUGACUUUAUAUUUAUGUAUAUACAUCUCUCUUAGCUUUCAAAAGCGUUUUUGUUUUUUUUUAAAUUUGAUUUAAAAAAAAAUCUCCCUUGGAGACCCUGGGUGUAGUCUCUUUAACAUUUCAAACUAAAUAUUAAAACAACAAAAACCACACCAAAGAGCUUAUUGCAUGAAGCAAGACUGCUAUAAAGAAGAGAGUGAAUACUAUUUACAGCAUGCACAGCUGUGUAGUAGGAUCACAUCAGCCUCUGCUCCAUGAGAUUCCUCACCAAAUACAGUUUUGCGAUUAUAUUUAACUCACUUUACUAAUAUUAUUUCAUCUUUUAUCAUCAUUCCAUUAUUUAUCUUUUAUUAAAAGAUAAAUUUAAAAGCCUAAAAAUUGUACGGUGGCAAAAUAA